rnacentral:rRNA from 1 species
AACGCUAGCUACAGGCUUAACACAUGCAAGUCGAGGGGCAGCGCAGUGUAGCAAUACAUGGGCGGCGACCGGCGCACGGGUGCGUAACGCGUAUCCAACCUUCCCGUUACUCAGGGAUAGCCUUCCGAAAGGGAGAUUAAUACCUGAUGGUGUUUGAAUUCCGCAUGUUAUUCAAACUAAAGAUUUAUCGGUAACGGAUGGGGAUGCGUGACAUUAGGUAGAUGGCGGGGUAACGGCCCACCAUGCCUACGAUGUCUAGGGGUUCUGAGAGGAAGGUCCCCCACACUGGAACUGAGACACGGUCCAGACUCCUACGGGAGGCAGCAGUGAGGAAUAUUGGUCAAUGGUCGGAAGACUGAACCAGCCAAGUAGCGUGAAGGAUGAAGGUUCUAUGGAUUGUAAACUUCUUUUAUACGGGAAUAAAACGUCCCACGUGUGGGAUCUUGUAUGUACCGUAUGAAUAAGCAUCGGCUAACUCCGUGCCAGCAGCCGCGGUAAUACGGAGGAUGCGAGCGUUAUCCGGAUUUAUUGGGUUUAAAGGGAGCGUAGACGGGGGAUUAAGUCAGUUGUGAAAGGCUGCGGCUCAACCGCAGCACUGCAGUUGAUACUGGUUUCCUUGAGUGCGGUUGAGGUGUAUGGAAUUCGUGGUGUAGCGGUGAAAUGCUUAGAUAUCACGAAGAACUCCGAUUG